rnacentral:rRNA from 1 species
UAGGGAAUCUUCCGCAAUGGGCGAAAGCCUGACGGAGCAACGCCGCGUGAGUGAUGAAGGUCUUCGGAUCGUAAAACUCUGUUAUUAGGGAAGAACAAAUGUGUAAGUAACUAUGCACGUCUUGACGGUACCUAAUCAGAAAGCCACGGCUAACUACGUGCCAGCAGCCGCGGUAAUACGUAGGUGGCAAGCGUUAUCCGGAAUUAUUGGGCGUAAAGCGCGCGUAGGCGGUUUUUUACGUCUGAUGUGAAAGCCCACGGCUCAACCGUGGAGGGUCAUUGGAAACUGGAAAACUUGAGUGCAGAAGAGGAAAGUGGAAUUCCAUGUGUAGCAGUGAAAUGCGCAGAGAUAUGGAGGAACACCAGUGGCGAAGGCGACUUUCUGGUCUGUAACUGACGCUGAUGUGCGAAAGCGUGGGGAUCAAACAGG